rnacentral:rRNA from 1 species
CCUACGGGGGGCAGCAGUGGGGAAUUUUGCGCAAUGGGGGAAACCCUGACGCAGCAACGCCGCGUGCGGGACGAAGGCCCUCGGGCUGUAAACCGCUUUCAGCAGGGAAGACGUCGACGGUACCUGCAGAAGAAGCCCCGGCUAACUACGUGCCAGCAGCCGCGGUAAUACGUAGGGGGCAAGCGUUAUCCGGAUUUACUGGGGGUAAAGGGAGCGUAGACGGCUGGCCAAGUCUGAAGUGAAAGCCCGGGGCUUAACCCCGGAACGGCUUUGGAAACUGGCCGGCUGGAGUGCUGGAGAGGCAG